rnacentral:rRNA from 1 species
AACGAACGCUGGCGGCAGGCCUAACACAUGCAAGUCGAGCGCGCCCUUCGGGGUGAGCGGCGGACGGGUUAGUAACGCGUGGGAAUAUGCCCAGAUCUGCGGAAUAGCCUCUGGAAACGGAGAGUAAUACCGCAUACGCCCUUCGGGGGAAAGAUUUAUCGGAUUUGGAUUAGCCCGCGUUGGAUUAGGUAGUUGGUGGGUAAUGGCCUACCAAGCCGACGAUCCAUAGCUGGUUUGAGAGGAUGAUCAGCAACACUGGGACUGAGACACGGCCCAGACUCCUACGGGAGGCAGCAGUGGGGAAUCUUAGACAAUGGGGAAACCCUGAUCUAACCAUGCCGCGUGAGUGACGAAGGCCCUAGGGUCGUAAAGCUCUUUCAGCUGUGAAGAUAAUGACGGUAGCAGCAGAAGAAACCCCGGCUAACUCCGUG